rnacentral:rRNA from 1 species
UACGUAGGCAGCGAGCGUUGUUCGGAAUUACUGGGCGUAAAGAGUGUGUAGGCGGCGCUCUAAGUUCGGUGUGAAAUCUCUCGGCUUAACUGGGAGGGUGCGCCGGAAACUGGAGUGCUCGAACGUGGGAGAGGAAAGCGGAAUUCCUGGUGUAGCGGUGAAAUGCGUAGAUAUCAGGAGGAACACCUGCGGUGUAGACGGCUUUCUGGACCAUUGUUGACGCUGAGACACGAAAGCGUGGGGAGCGAACAGG